GGUGAAACACCGGUUCCGGUACGAUCAAUGAAGUUAAGCAACGUCGAGCCUGGUCAGUAUCUAGGUGGGUGACCGCUUCGGAAUAGUAGGUACUGUAAG